rnacentral:rRNA from 1 species
GAUGAACGCUAGCUACAGGCUUGACACAUGCAAGUCGAGGGGAAACGACAUCGAAAGCUUGCUUUUGAUGGGCGUCGACCGGCGCACGGGUGAGUAACGCGCAUCCAACCUGCCCACCACUUGGGGAUAACCUUGCGAAAGUAAGACUAAUACCCAAUGAUAUCUCUAGAAGACAUCUGAAAGAGAUUAAAGAUUUAUCGGUGAUGGAUGGGGAUGCGUCUGAUUAGCUUGUUGGCGGGGUAACGGCCCACCAAGGCUACGAUCAGUAGGGGUUCUGAGAGGAAGGUCCCCCACAUUGGAACUGAGACACGGUCCAAACUCCUACGGGAGGCAGCAGUGAGGAAUAUUGGUCAAUGGGCGAGAGCCUGAACCAGCCAAGUAGCGUGCAGGAUGACGGCCCUAUGGGUUGUAAACUGCUUUGAUAAGGGAAUAAAGUGAGCCUCGUGAGGCUUUUUGCAUGUACCUUAUGAAUAAGGACCGGCUAAUUCCGUGCCAGCAGCCGCAGUAA